rnacentral:rRNA from 1 species
UACGAAGGGGGCUAGCGUUGUUCGGAUUUACUGGGCGUAAAGCGCACGUAGGCGGAUUGUUAAGUCGGGGGUGAAAUCCUGGAGCUCAACUCCGAAACUGCAUUUGAUACUGCGGUGCUUGAGGACUGGAGAGGAGAUUGGAAUUUACGGUGUAGCAGUGAAAUGGCGUAGAUAUCGUAAGGAAGACCAGUGGCGAAGGCGAAUCUCUGGACAGUUACUGACACUGAGGCACGAAGGCCAAGGGGAGCAAACCGGG